rnacentral:rRNA from 1 species
GUGCCAGCAGCCGCGGUAAUACGUAGGUGGCAAGCGUUGUCCGGAAUUAUUGGGCGUAAAGCGCGCGCAGGCGGUUUCUUAAGUCUGAUGUGAAAGCCCACGGCUCAACCGUGGAGGGUCAUUGGAAACUGGGAGACUUGAGUGCAGAAGAGGAGAGUGGAAUUCCACGUGUAGCGGUGAAAUGCGUAGAGAUGUAGAGGAACACCAGUGGGCGAAGGCGACUCUCUGGUCUGUAACUGACGCUGAGGCGCGAAAGCGUGGGGAGCAACAGGAUUAGAUACCCUGGUAGUCC